CAAUAGCGUAUAUUAAAGUUGUUGCAGUUAAAAAGCUCGUAGUUGAAGUUCUGCCUGUUCCUAGCUCUGGCUUCGGUCGGACUAGGAGCAGGCAUCCGUCUGUAAACUACGCUCGUCCUUCACUGGUCGUCGUAGGGAGCAGGCUCUCUACUUUGAAAAAAUUAGAGUGUUUCAGGCAGGCAAUCGCCCGGAUACAUUAGCAUGGAAUAAUGGAAAAGGACUCAAGUCCAUUUUGUUGGUUAUUGGACAUGAGUAAUGAUUAAUAGGGACAGUUGGGGGCAUUAGUAUUUAAUUGUCAGAGGUGAAAUUCUUGGAUUUAUUAAAGACUAACUUAUGCGAAAGCAUUUGCCAAGGAUGUUUUCAUUAA
rnacentral:rRNA from 1 species